rnacentral:rRNA from 1 species
GAAAGUAAGCAAGGGCAGACGGUGGAUGCCUUGGCUCUCGGAGGCGACGAAGGACGUGAUAAGCUGCGAAAAGCCCGGGGGAGGCGCAAAUAGCCGUUGAUCCCGGGAUAUCCGAAUGGGGCAACCCGGCAGGCUGAAGGCCUGUCAUCCCGUAAGGGAGGCGAACGUGGGGAACUGAAACAUCUAAGUACCCAUAGGAGGAGAAAAUAAACAAUGAUUCCGUAAGUAGUGGCGAGCGAACACGGAAGAGCCCAAACCCAUGUCGUCUAGGCGACACGGGGGUUGUAGGACCACGACGUGGCAAGAUAGAGUCAAGUGGAACGCCUUGGAAAAGGCGGUCAUAGAGGGUGAAAACCCCGUACACGACUGACGAUUGAAGCCUAGUGGCAUCCUGAGUAGCGCGGGGCACGAGAAAUCUUGCGUGAAACAGCGGGGCCCAUCCCGUAAGGCUAAAUACUCCCGAGAGACCGAUAGCGAACCAGUACCGUGAGGGAAAGGUGAAAAGAACCCCGAGCAGGGGAGUGAAAUAGACCCUGAACCCGUCUGCCUACAAGCGGUCGGAGCAUAGCAAUAUGUGACGGCGUGCCUUUUGCAUAAUGAACCUACGAGUUACCUUCCCCGGCAAGGUUAAGUACCUAAGGUACGGAGCCGAAGCGAAAGCGAGUCUGAAGAGGGCGGCCAGUCGGGGGGGGUAGACGCGAAACCGAGUGAUCUACCCUUGGCCAGGUUGAAGGUUGGGUAACACCAACUGGAGGACCGGAUGGGUAAGCGUUGAAAAGCUUUCCAAUGAGCUGAGGGUAGGGGUGAAAGGCUAAUCAAACUCGGAGAUAGCUCGUACUCCCCGAAAUGCAUUUAGGUGCAGCCUCUUUAUAGUAUAUCGUGAGGUAGAGCGACUGAUUGGAUGCGAGGGCUUCACCGCCUAUCAAGUCCAGAUAAACUCCGAAUGCGCGAUAUAUAUUUACAGGGAGUGAGGGCGCGGGUGCUAAGGUCCGUGUCCGAGAGGAGAAGAAUCCAGACCACCGGCUAAGGCCCCCAAAUGAUCGUUGAGUUGAACUAACGAGGUCGGAUCGCAGAGACAGCUAGGAUGUUGGCUUGGAAGCAGCCAUUCAUUUAAAGAGUGCGUAACAGCUCACUAGUCGAGCGAUCUGGCGUGGAUAAUAAUCGGGCAUAAACGAUCUGCCGAAGCCGUGGAUGUCGUAAGACAUGGUAGGGGAGCAUUCCAUGCGGCGUCGAAGAUGAGGGAUGACCCUUGUUGGAGCGCAUGGAAAAGCAAAUGUAGGUAUGAGUAACGAUAAGGGGGGCGAGAAACCCCCCCGCCGAAAGACCAAGGUUUCCUGAUCAACGCUAAUCGGAUCAGGGUGAGUCGGGACCUAAGGCAAAGCCGAACGGCGCCGCCGAUGGAAGAAUGGGUUAAUAUUCCCAUACUGCCUCAUGGAGUGACGUGGAGACGGAGAAGUGACAGUCCUGCCGGCUGACGGAAUAGCCGGUUGAAGGGUGUAGAUAUUGAUUCCCGUAGGCAAAUCCGCGGGGAGAGUCGAACCUGACAGUAUACCGAGUACUUGUACGAGGUAAUAUGGACGUAACCAUGCUCCCAAGAAAAUCCGCUAAACUUAUCCAUGCGGCACCCGUACCGUAAACGGACACACGUGGUCGGGUUGAGAAUACUGAGGCGCUCGAGUGACUCACGGUUAAGGAACUAGGCAAAUUGACCCUGUAACUUCGGGAUAAAGGGUCCUCGUCGUAAGGCGAGGCGCAGAGAAUAGGUCCAGGCAACUGUUUAACAAAAACACAUGGCUGUGCUAAAUGGAAACAUGACGUAUACAGCCUGACACCUGCCCGGUGCUGGAAGGUUAAGAGGAGAUGUCAUCGCAAGAGAAGCGUUGAAUUGAAGCCCCAGUAAACGGCGGCCGUAACUAUAACGGUCCUAAGGUAGCGAAAUUCCUUGUCGGGUAAGUUC